rnacentral:rRNA from 1 species
UUAAAUUGAAGAGUUUGAUCAUGGCUCAGAUUGAACGCUGGCGGCAGGCCUAACACAUGCAAGUCGAACGGUAACAGGAAGCAGCUUGCUGCUUUGCUGACGAGUGGCGGACGGGUGAGUAAUGUCUGGGAAACUGCCUGAUGGAGGGGGAUAACUACUGGAAACGGUGGCUAAUACCGCAUAACGUCGCAAGACCAAAGAGGGGGACCUUCGGGCCUCUUGCCAUCAGAUGUGCCCAGAUGGGAUUAGCUUGUUGGUGAGGUAACGGCUCACCAAGGCGACGAUCCCUAGCUGGUCUGAGAGGAUGACCAGCCACACUGGAACUGAGACACGGUCCAGACUCCUACGGGAGGCAGCAGUGGGGAAUAUUGCACAAUGGGCGCAAGCCUGAUGCAGCCAUGCCGCGUGUAUGAAGAAGGCCUUCGGGUUGUAAAGUACUUUCAGCGGGGAGGAAGGUGUUGUGGUUAAUAACCGCAGCAAUUGACGUUACCCGCAGAAGAAGCACCGGCUAACUCCGUGCCAGCAGCCGCGGUAAUACGGAGGGUGCAAGCGUUAAUCGGAAUUACUGGGCGUAAAGCGCACGCAGGCGGUCUGUCAAGUCGGAUGUGAAAUCCCCGGGCUCAACCUGGGAACUGCAUUCGAAACUGGCAGGCUUGAGUCUUGUAGAGGGGGUAGAAUUCCAGGUGUAGCGGUGAAAUGCGUAGAGAUCUGGAGGAAUACCGGUGGCGAAGGCGGCCCCCUGGACAAAGACUGACGCUCAGGUGCGAAAGCGUGGGGAGCAAACAGGAUUAGAUACCCUGGUAGUCCACGCCGUAAACGAUGUCUACUUGGAGGUUGUGCCCUUGAGGCGUGGCUUCCGGAGCUAACGCGUUAAGUAGACCGCCUGGGGAGUACGGCCGCAAGGUUAAAACUCAAAUGAAUUGACGGGGGCCCGCACAAGCGGUGGAGCAUGUGGUUUAAUUCGAUGCAACGCGAAGAACCUUACCUGGUCUUGACAUCCACAGAACUUUCCAGAGAUGGAUUGGUGCCUUCGGGAACUGUGAGACAGGUGCUGCAUGGCUGUCGUCAGCUCGUGUUGUGAAAUGUUGGGUUAAGUCCCGCAACGAGCGCAACCCUUAUCCUUUGUUGCCAGCGAUUAGGUCGGGAACUCAAAGGAGACUGCCAGUGAUAAACUGGAGGAAGGUGGGGAUGACGUCAAGUCAUCAUGGCCCUUACGACCAGGGCUACACACGUGCUACAAUGGCGCAUACAAAGAGAAGCGACCUCGCGAGAGCAAGCGGACCUCAUAAAGUGCGUCGUAGUCCGGAUUGGAGUCUGCAACUCGACUCCAUGAAGUCGGAAUCGCUAGUAAUCGUGGAUCAGAAUGCCACGGUGAAUACGUUCCCGGGCCUUGUACACACCGCCCGUCACACCAUGGGAGUGGGUUGCAAAAGAAGUAGGUAGCUUAACCUUCGGGAGGGCGCUUACCACUUUGUGAUUCAUGACUGGGGUGAAGUCGUAACAAGGUAACCGUAGGGGAACCUGCGGUUGGAUCACCUCCUUACCUUAAAGAA